GUUGUCCGUCAUCCUCAGCAUCACCAGACUUGCCAAAGGGCCGAAGGUCCUGUCUUCGAUGCGGGUCAAGGUGUUGAAGGAGAGGUCCAGGUGUUGAAGUGCUGAAUCAGACUCAGCAUGAUGGAGGAGGAGGAGGACAGAUGUGCCGCUGACAGUCCGUGAAAGAAAACUACCCCGAGCUGACAGUCAACAACCGGCUGCAUGGUGACCACGCUCGCUCGCUCACUCUCUCUCACACACACACACACACACACACACACACACA